GACGAACGCUGGCGGCGUGCUUAACACAUGCAAGUCGAGCGGUAAGGCCCUUUCGGGGGUACGACGAGCGGCGAACGGGUGAGUAACACGUGGGUGACCUGCCCUUACGCUCUGGGAGUAAGCCUGGGAAACGUGGGUCUAAUACCGGAUAUGACUCCAUGACGCAUGUUGUGGGGUGGAAAGCCUUGUGCGGCUAGGGAUGGGCCCGCGGCCUAUCAGCUUGUUGGUGGGGUGAUGGCCUACCAAGGCGACGACGGGUAGCCGGCCUGAGAGGGCGACCGGCCACACUGGGACUGAGACACGGCCCAGACUCCUACGGGAGGCAGCAGUGGGGAAGU
rnacentral:rRNA from 1 species